AUCAGUGUGAAAGCAGACUAAUACAGACUCCUUCCCUGGACACUAGAACCAUGAUGGCAUUAGGGAUGGAGUUAUUAAUGCAUAAUAGCAGAAAGCUCUUUACCUCAACAUUAUAAAGAUAAUAAAGGUAUAGUUAACAAUGAUUGUACACACAUUGUAGAUUCCAUUACAGUAUUAAAUUGAGCAAUAGUGUUUGCAGCAAACUAUGGGCAUUAUUCUUUAAUUUCCCCUCCCAUUAAAUUAUUCUUUAAUUUCCCCUCCCAUUAAAGGAGAGGGUGGUCUCUUUUCAGGUAAGGAUUGCUCAUCUUUUUCUUCUGCAUGCCUCAUGCCAUGCAUGCCCCAUGCAGGUGUAAGCUAGAUGGCAUUCUGUAUGUCAGGACCAUUUUUCAUUACUGCAAAAUACUCAAACUAAGUUUUAAAGAAAAGAAUUUCUAUCCUAUGCAUUGCUAUAAGGCUUUUUAUUCCAACAUAUGGUAUUAAAUACGAGUUAUGUGCUCAACUGUGAAUUUAUAUGAAAAGGAGAUUAGGACACAACAGGCAUAGAGGAAAGAUCAUGUGAAGACACAGGGAGAAAACACUUAUCUGCAAAUCAAGAGGAAAGAUCCCAGAAGAUACUAACCCUCCUGAUAGAUACCUUGAUCUCCGACACCUGUCUGUGGUACUUGAUGAUGGCACCCUAGCAAACUAACAUAAUUGUGAUGAAACACAGAGGCCCAAGAGUGGCCUUUGUGUUUCAUUUCAGUGCUCUAUGUUCUGGCCAAUUGUCUGUCAUCUUCCUUUGUGCGUGAAUGAGUCCCCUGUGGGCAAAAGCAGAGGCCACCCGUGGAGACAUACCUAGAUGGGUGGCAGGCAGACAACCACUAUCUGUCAUCUACCCAACCACCACUUAUGUCCUUUUCCCUCCACAUCCCUCUUCUUUCAAAAUCCCUCCCCUCCUACUCACCUUCUUCAGGUAGCAGGAGUGGGAGGUAGGAAAAAGCAAUAGACUUAUUAAUGUUAAAGAUCCAAGCUGCAAACCUUUGCUUCUGAUUAGCUUUUUGGUUUCAGACUCUUUCUCUAGGCAAAAUUUUCUCAAAAUUAUCUGCUACAGGAAUUCAGAGAAACAUUUAAAACUCUAAAAGUAGACCGAUACCACCACCUUCCCCAUCCUCCACCCAGCCAGCCUGUGACAGUAGGUAAAAUCUGUAUACCCAACACCAAUUCCCUUGAUGGUAUUUGGAUCCAUUUCCAAUUGAGAAGCAGUCAUCUAUCCUUUUUCAUUAGCUUCGCCUUCACUGGUGAGAAGUUAGUGGGAAGUAAAGACUCUGGAGGCCUGGAGUUGUUGGGUUUUAAAAUUUUAUGCCUGGAGGGUAAGUCCACUCUAGUAAAUGUGAAGUUAUUUUUAAACUUAAAGCCAUGGAAUACCACUACAUUAUAGUAACCAGCUAUUUUGCAGUAUAACCUACAUUCAUUCAUGUAUUGUUUGUAUGAAUGUUCUGUUUCCAGCAUAAUGGCUUUUAAAAAUUAAAGAUAUAAAUUAGCUAUUAUUAGAGAAACAGCACAAUAGUAAAACUCCCAUAAAUUGGCAUAAGAAAAUAUUAAUAAUAGACUCUAGAGGGGACAGUCUCUAAAGAAUAAACAAACCAUUGAGUAGAGAACAGAAAUCCCACCCAACCAGUAAGUGCUCUAUGCUGAUCUUCAAACAAUGGGUUCCUGGGUCUUAGCAAUAACAACAAAAACAACUCACCACUAACCCAGUGCUUACUGAAUCUCAUAUGCUUUACAUGUAUUACUUUAUUUUUUUUUCCAAAUGUCACUUUUGAAGAAGAUACCUUUAAUAUUUCCACUUUACAGAUGAUGAAAUUUUAAAGUGUUAUAUAAAUUGCCCAGCUAGUAAAUGGUAGAGCAGGGAUUCAAACCCAGCCUUAAUAUAUAUACUAUUAUUUUGAUCCCCAGAGCACUCAAUAUAGUGUUGGGUACUUUUAAAAGAACUAAGAAAAUGUUGAGCCAUAUGGGGGAUGAUUCAGCCAUAUUGUAGGGACAGAAAACAGUAAAAGUGACCCAAAUACCCUAUCUUUAAAAUUUUUCUAUGUUUUAACCAUUUAUUUUCCACAUUAUUCUUUUGUGCAAUGUUUGCUGAGCAUCUGCUAUGUUCCAGGUACGGUGUCGGGUGGAAAACAGGAAUAAAUAAUAUACAAACCCUUUUAUUAAGUAAUUCAGAGUUCAAUGAAAGACUUCAAAGGAAAACAGAUCAUUUUUAAAUGAUCGAACUAUGUGACAGGUGGAGUGGCAUUAGCAGAGCACAGAGGGGAUGGUCAGGACUGGCUGCUGGCAGGAGGGGACAUCUGAGCAGGUGAGAGGCAGGGGUGUGGGAGGAAGACAUGUAAGACCUUAACAGGCAAGGGUACAGUGUGAGCACUGGCAGGAAAAAGAGUUGCUGGAAAUUUCCAGCAAUUCAUUGUUGCUGAAGCAGAACGUGUGAUGCCGGGCGGGUCCCUGAUCGUGGAGUGGAGGAGGGAUGCAAAGCAUGGAGACCCUUUUAAGGCACCAGAGGAGGGAGAGAGAUUGAACAAAUAGGAGAGGUGGGUGGGUGAGGGAGAGAAGAGCCACUGAGAUCAUCACAACUCAAACAAAACUAAAAUGUAGUGCAUGUCCUUGAGUUCUCUUGCUUUCUCCCAUUUUCCAUGAAAACGUGCAAACUAGCACCUUAACACUUUUUGUAAUUUCAUGACAAAUGCUAUCAUAUUUCAUAGCCAGCAGAUGGCACUAAGUAUACAUAAAAUGAACAUUUUGCACACUCACUUUUUUUUUUUCUCUUGAGACAGUCUCACUCUGUUGCCCACGCUGCAGUGCAGUGGCGCAAUCGUGUUUCUCUGCAUCCUGGGCUCCAGCGAUCCUCCUGCCUCAGCUUCCCGAGUAGCUGGGACCACAAGCGCCUACCUCCUACUUAUUUUAAAAGAGUUCAAUCCAGGCUCUACUGUUCCCAAGGGACUUUUCUCCAUACUAGGAACUCUAAAAUCUGACAAUGGUUUGGAUCUGUGAGAUAGAAAAGGCAUCUUAUAGGUACAGGGUCCUGUCUUCUGCCAGGGUCUACUGUGCUGCAGUCUCAGAGGGAUAUCAUCAGGGGAUCCCAGUAAGGUUGUAAAAUGAAUAAUGAUCUUGGUGGCACCACACCAUCUCUGUGUAGUGAGGAAAACUUAUGUAAAACUGGAACGGGUGAAGGGGUGAAACUAGGAAGGUGUCAUAGCUGUUAGAGGAUGGGGAGCAGGACUGGGUGGGUAAAGCCUUCAGCUGUGAGGCCCGUUGACAUCUAUGAAAGAGGAAGAAAGCGGGAGAGCCUCCAGCUGCAAAGGACGGCUGACCAGGGCUUGGCUUGCUCAGUGAGCAGCUUCAGAGCAAAGAUUGCCUGAUGAAGCAGUUCAGCAUUGGGCUGAAACAGCCAGGCCCUACAGUACCCUUCUCAUCUGGUUUGGCUCUGUCCCCACCCAAAAUCUCAUCUUGAAUUGUAAUCCCCAUAAUACCCACAUGUCAAGGGAGAGGCCAGGUGGAUGUAAUUGAAUCAUGGGGGUGUUUUCUCCCAUGCUGUUCUCGUGGUAGUGAGUUCUCACGAGAGCUGAUGAUUUUGUAAGUGUUUGGUAGUUUCUCCUGCGCUCAUUUCUCCCUCCUGCCACCUUGUGAAGAAGGUGGCUUGCUUCCCCUUCACCUUCUGCCAUGAUUGUAAGUUUCCUCAGGCCUCCCCAGCCAUGCUGAACUGUGAGUCAAUUAAACCUCUUACCUUUAUAAAUUACCCAGUUUUGGGUAUUUCCUUAUAGCAAUGUGAGAACAGACUAGUAUAUCUUCCUUGCUCAGUCAUUGGCUGGGGGUUACCCAGGAAGAAUGUGACCCAGAGUGAAUGCCAUGCACAUGCUGAUGGCGCUACAGUUGAAGGCUGUCAGUUACCUCUGCUCCCUGCAGCUGGACAGCAGGUUCUCAGAGGAGUACCCUAAAGGUGGUGUACUUUUGUGGCUGCCACACCAUCCUUGUUAAAGAAAUAACUCUCAUGUAUGAUCUCCAUUGUAUUUCUUAGGUCUGUAUGAAGCUGUGUAAACAGUCUUGCUCUUUUCAAUAGCUGAGGUGCUUUUUAAAUAAAAUUCAUAGGUUCUUGGAUAUGAUUCAAUCCAGUAUAGUCUGUGAACUGGCUUUGCAGCUUCAUCUGAAUAAUCUCAAUAUUUACAUAUGAGUUAUAUGUAUCUCUUGGAAGAAAAUUUUAAAAGUAAAAGCCAUUAUCUAUAUGGGCUCAAAGGAUAUGAAAGAAUUUUAAUCUCAGAAAAGCACAAUAAGGAAGUCAAUAUCUAUUUUAAUCUCAGGCAAGCAUACUAAAGAAGUCAGUAGCUGCAAAAGCUCCUCAAAAAAUUAUUCUAAGUCAAAUAUAAAUAAUCUUAUUUGCUCUUUUGGAUUAUGAAUACAUCAUAGCUUUUUUAUUAACAUCCAAUUCAAAGUUGGCCUAUUGUCUGGUGGUAUUAAAGUGGAUCACAUGUGUAGCCCUUAAUAAUGCACAUUGACAUGGAACACUUGGCUUGAUCCUCGUAAUUCUAUGAGGUAGGUAUUAUCACCUAUGUACAGAUGAAGAAACACAUCCUGAGAGAUGUGAAUUUUAAUGCAAUUUCUAUGAAUGACAUCUUUUUUUCAAAAUCCUAUGAAACACAAUCUGGUAAUUUUUAAGACACCGUACCACUCUUUCCUUACACCAUAUACAAAAAUCAACUCAAGAUGGAUGAAAGAUUUGAAUGUAAAACUUAAAACUAUCAAAACCCUAGAAGAAAACAAGAAAGGCCAUGGACAUAUGCCUUGGCAAAGACUUCAUGAUGAAGAUGCCAAGAGCAAUUGCGGCAAAAACGAAAAUUGACAAAUGGGAUCUAAUAAAACUAAAGAGCUUCUGCACAGUAAAAGAAACUAUCAACAGAGUAAACAUACAACCUACAGAAUGGAGGAAAACACCUGCAAGCUAUGCAUCUGACAAAGGUCUAAUAUCCAGCACCUAUAAGGAACUUAAAUCAACAAGCAAAAACAAACAACCUCAUUAAAAAUGGGCAAAAAGUGUGAACAGACACUUCUCAAAAGAAGACGUGCAUGUAGGCAACAAGCAUAUGAAAAAAUGUUCACCAUCACUAAUCAUUAGAGAAAUGCAAAUCAAGACCACAGUAAGAUACCAUCUCACACCAGUCAGAAUAGCUAUGAUGAAAAAGUAAAAAAAAAAAAAAAAAAAAAAAAAGAUGCUGGUGAAGUUGUGGAGAAGAGAACACUUAUACACUGCUGGUGGAAAUGUAAACCAGUUUGGCCACUGUGGAAAGCAGUUUGGAGAUUUUUCAAAGAAUUCAAAAUAGAGCUAUCAUUCAACCCAGCAAUCCCAUUACUGGAUAUAUACCCAAAGGAAUAUAAAUUGUUCUACCAUAAAAACACAUAUACAUGUAUGUUCAUUGCAGCAUUAUUCACAAUAGCAAAGACAUGGAAUCAACCUAAAUGCUCAUCAAUGGCAGAAUGGAUAAAGAAAAUGUGGUACAUAUAUACCAUGGAAUACUGUACAGCCAUAUAAAAAAAUGAGAUCACAUCCUCUGCAGCAACAUGGAUGGAGCUGGAGGCCAGUAUCCUAAGUGAACUAACACAGAACAGAAAACCAAAUACUGUAUGUGCUCCCUAUAAGUAGGAGCUAAACACUGAGCCCACAUGGACAAAAAGAAGGGAAUAAUAGGCACCAGGGCCUACUUGAGGGUGGAGGGUUGGAGGAGAGCGAGGACUGAGAAAAUACCUAUCAGGUACGAUGCUUAUUACCUGGGUGACAAAAUAAUCUGUACACCAAACCCCAUGACAUGCAAUUUACCUAUAUAACAAACCUGCAAAUGUACUCCUGCACCUAAAAUAGAAGUUGGAAGGAAAAAAAUACAUUGCACAAAUGGAAACAAUAAAAUCUACAAUUUGAACAUUUAUUUGAAUAGCUGGACGUGUCAUCAGAACAACUCUUGAUGCUUAUUUAGGCUCCCAGAGUUACCUAAAGAGAACAUGAGGUUUAAGAACCACUGAUGAGGAAUCAAAGCCCUACUUUGAAGAGUAUAAAUAUAUAUUAAGCAUUAUAUACAUAUAUACACACACAUUUUAAAGAAUUAUAAAAUGAACACUUGUAUACUUAACACCAAGGAAUUGAAUAUUAACAUUGAAGCACCCAGGGCUUCUCCUGUAUUGCAUUCUUUCCUAGAAGUGAUCACCAGCCUAUGUUUUGAAUUAAUUAUGCCUAUGCUUUCGCUGUUUUGCCACACUAUAUCUUCUAUAAUAUUGUCUUGUUUGCUUUUAGGCCCUAUGUAAAUGGCAUAUAUAUUGACAUGCACACACAUCCCCUUUGAUGACUUAGUUUUUUAACAGUCUAUUUGACAUUGGUUCCCACUGAUGCUUGUCACUGUAGAUCACAUUCAUUCCUUUACAAUAUUACGUUGUAUGGAAAUAUCCAUUUUAUCCAUUCUGUUGGUGGGCCUUUGAGUUGUUUUCAGCUUUUUUUCCUCAGGUACAAAUAAUGCUUCCAUGAAGAUUCUUGUAAUUGGUUUCCUUGGUAUAUUUGUAACAACAUUUCUUUAGGGUGACACUAUAAAUUGCAGAGACUACAUACUUUAAAACUUAUUAGGAAUUAACAACUUAUUUUCUAAGGUGGCUGUACCAAUUUACACUCCUACUAUAAUUUCAUGAGAGUUCUUGUGGCACCCUGUCCUCACCAAUUCUUAUCUGAAUGUAAAUAUUACCAUGUGGUUUUAAUCUGUAUUUCCCUAUUUUCUUCUAAGACUUUAAACAUUUUACUUUCAUUUAAGUCCUUGACCCAUUUAAAUUUGACUUUUGUGCAUGAAGUUAUAUAUAUAUACCUGUCCUUUUGAAAAUGUCCUUAUAUUUCUCUUAUUAAGAAUUUUCAAAGAUUUUUCUUUCCCCUUAUCUCAAUCCCCAUCCUUUAUGAACAGACUCGAUGAAUUAAAGAAUAUGAACCCAUACAGAGCUUCAGAGACAUACACUUUCUAAAGAAUAUGAAUUAGAGGAGACAGCACUGAUGGGAGUGACAGAAGCGGUGCCGGUUAACUCCCCACCAUCAAAAGUAUCUUCUGCUGUAGUCUGGCACAAGUUUCAAGCAUCCACUGGGGGUCUUGGGAUGCGUCGCCCUGCAGAUAAGGGCAACUGCUGUGCAGCAUGAACAGUAUGGAGACAAUACUUAUCUUCAUGGAGUUUAUAUUAGAGUAAGACAAGAGGUAGGAGACUGCCUAUUUUAUUGUUCUCUUGAAAAGACUGGGUAUUUUACUUUUAUGAAAGGCUUUAUAGCCUGCAGGGGCAUUCUAAUAUGGAUUUUGGGGGUGAAGAGAGAAAUAGGUGUAGAAAGUAAGUUCAGGGGUGCAGAGACCCAUAGGUUUUUUAAAAGAGAAGUCAGGGGAAGGUCUCUUAAGGUAGUAGUGGAGUCCAAAUUAUUCUAUGUCCCUUGUAGCUCCUACCCUUUGUAUGCAGUAAUUUUUUUUUAAAUCGAAGACAGGGGAAGGUCUCUUAAGGUAAUAGUAGAGACCAAAUUAUUCUAUCUCCCUCGUAGCUCCUUCCCUGUGUAUGCAGUUAACGGAGUGUGGUUUCCCCACUUGUCCCGAAAUCUUCUAGGCACAACAGAUUCCUGUAGUGAGCUGCAUGCAAGGAAGAAGCCUGGUAGGUGAGUAAUUAUUAUAAUCACCAAGAACCCUGAAAGUAACUACUGAUACUUUAUUUAAAUCAAGUAGCUAAUUAAAAAUGUGAAUAUACAACCAAAUCCCAAGACACGAAUAUCAUGAAAAGGAAACAUCAAAAUAAAUAAGCAAAAAACUUGACCUUUCAUGAAACAGCUAAUGCAAAUGAAAACUCCAAUUAUUGUUUUCACAGAAGUUUAAGAGGAUAAUGCAUCCAUAUAAUUAAAAUAAGCUCCAGUGAAAAGGAGUUUUCAGAAAUUCUAAGAAAAAUAUAUUUGCCUAAUUUAAAGCCUCAAAAGAAAGUUGAAGAGCAAAAUGCACACAGCUGAAGCUGACAGUAUUAAAGACUCAGUGAUGAUAUUCUCUGAGAACACAGAAAGAAAAGAAAUAGAUAAUAUGAUAAAAGCAAUAACAGAAAUUCAAAAAAGAGAGGCUAAAGUGAAAGAAUAAGAGAACAACAACAACACACACAUCACCCCUCCAAACCUUAUGAAUUUCCAGAGAGAAAAACUAUAUAGGAAUUUUCAUCUGUAAUGCUCAAUGCUAGAACACAAAGAAGCAAUGUCAACAAAAUGUUGAAUGAAACUCACAAAUAUCUAUUAACCAAUCUAUCAAUCAAAUAUGAGGGCAAAAUAAAGCCAUUUUUCAGGUAAGAAAGCACCCAGAAAGCAUGCCAAUUCUACAUGUCAAGGAAAAAUAAAUCAGUAAAAUUUGAAGUCAAGUCCAAAGAUUGCUGGUGUCUUUAAUGUAAAUGUUUAGAGACUUCUUAAAACAUAACAGAUAAGACAACAAUCUAGAAAGUAAAUUUCAGCAUAACCUGGAAGGAGAGGGUGUCUAGGCAGGGACAAGUAGAAAUAUUCCAACAGCUCAGUGCUGAAGCAAGCAGGUCUCUAGGUACAGAGCCUGAGUAUGAAUUCUGCCUCCACUACUCACUGGCUGUGUGCCUUUCAGAAAAUUACUUACCUUCUUACUGGUUUCCUCAUCUGUAAAUAAUGGGAAUAACUGACUCCCUUCUCACAAGGUGACUGUGAAGAUUUAUUGAGUUAAUACUGGUAAGAAGCUUAAAAUACUGUCAGACACACAGGAAAUAAUAACUGUUAGCUACUAUCGUUGGUGGUAACAGGUUUUAGAUGCUGAUGAAUUCUUAAUAUCAAGAUGAAUAUAUUUGCUAAUAAUUUAAGAGAAACCACCAGGAAAUAUAGAAAUGGGAUAUAGCUAACAAUUCAGCAAGUAUCAAGAAAAUAAUUUUUGAAAAGCAUGAUGAAUAGAAAACAUAAAAUCAGAUGGCAGGGAGAAGUACAAACACAGCAGUUAUCACCGUUAAUAUGAAAAUGGGUUAAAUUCACCAAUUAGAAAACGAGUAUUAGAGGAAUUUGAAUAGAAAAAAUCUAACAAUGAGAAAUAUACCUAAACCAAAAUGUCACAAAAAUGUUAAAAAAAAAAGCAUAAAUACAGGUAAACCAGGAAAAUCUAUAAAAAAGAAAGCAGAGGUGGCAAUAUUAAUUUUACACAAAGAAAAAUUUACAGCAAAAAACCACUAAGUAAAGCAAAGAAUAUCCUUUAUAAUAAAAGUACAAUCCUAUAAUAAUCAUGCAAUGAACAACAGCACUAUCUAUAUAAAGCAAACACUAUUAAAAUUAUGAGACAAUUUUGAAAAAUUCAUUUUUAAUGUUGCAUGUGAAGAUAGCAUUCUAAGAAAACAGAAAAAGUAGAAAAAUAAGAGACCAUUUAGAAUAGCACUAUUAAUAACAUGAUAUAACAUGUAACUUUGAACUUCCCCUAAAUAAGAAAUGAACAUUUAAAAAAUCCUCACAGAGCAUUUACUAAAACUGAACAUCCAUCUCAAUAAAUAGCAAGUUAAUUUUAAAGGCAAAAUAUACAACAGAAGAAACUAGUUAGACAUUUUUAAAAAUUAUCAUUAUCAUUAUUAUUAUUAUUGAGACGGAGCCUCGCACUGUUGCCAGGCUGGAGUGUGGUGGCAAUCUUGGCUCACUGCAACCUCCGACUCCUGGGUUCCAGCAAUUCUCCUGCCUCAGCCUCCCGAGUAGCUGGGAUUACAGGUGCGUGCCACCACGCCCAGCUAAUUUGUGUAUUUUUAGUGGAGACGGGGUUUCACCAUGUUGGCCAGGAUGGUCUCGAUCUCUUGACCUCGUGAUCCGCCCGCCUUGGCCUCCCAAAGUGCUGGGAUUAUAGGCAUGAGCCACCGCACCUGGCCUAAAACUAGUUAGACAUUUUAAGACAUUCUUCUAAGUGAUUUUGGAUUAAAUGAUCAAAACUCAAAUCACAGACUACACAGAAAUCAACAUUAAUGGUAAUGCUACACACAUCAUGGGAUACAGUGUGCAUUUUCUUCAGAGAAAAAGUUAUAACUUUAAAUGUAUUUACUAGGACACAAUAAUGAUUGAUAAUAAAUGAUGUGAACUUUAGACACAGAAAAACAACAAAAGUGCACCAAAAGAAAAACUAAGGACAUAAACAUGUAAGCAGAGAUUAAUAAAAUGGAGAACAACUUUCAUAAAUAUAAGGAAUAAAACCAAAAGCUGAUUUUAUGAAAAAUCCAAAAAAGAAUGGACUCGUUAUGGACUAAUGCAGCUGGUGACUUUCGGUUGAAGCCAAUGUUCAUUUACCACUUUGAAAUUCCUGAGGCCUUUUUUCAGAAUUAUGCUACAUCUACUCUGCCUCUACUCUACAAAUGGAACAACAAAGCCUGGAUGACAGCACAUCUGUCACAGCAUGAUUUACUGAAUAUUUAAAACCCACUCUUGAGACCUACUUCCCAGAAAAAAAGAUUCCUUUCAAAAUAUUAUUGCUCAUUGACAAUGCGGCUGGUCACCCAAGAGCUCUGAUAGAGAUUGACAAGGAGAUUAAGGUUGCAGGAAAGCAGGCUGGAUCAAGGAGUCAUUUCAACUUUCAAGUCUUGUUAUUUAAGAAAUAUAUGUCAUAAGGCUAUAGCUGUCAUAGAUAGUGAUUCCUGUGAUGGAUUUGGGUAAAUUGAAAAUCUUCUGGAAAUGAUUCACCAUUCUAGAUGCCAUUAAGGAUAUUUGUGAUUCAUGGAUGGAGGUCAAAAUACUGACAUCAAUAAGAGAUGGGAAGCAGUUGAUUCCAACUUAUUUUCUACUUUAUCUGUCAUUUUCUUAGAAUGUUUUCUUCUCAUAUAAUAUUAAAAAUGAUUCCAACC